UUUUUGAGGGGUGUUUUGGAGUGGUAGAAGUCUUAUGCAGCAGCUCAUUUUUUACAAAGCAUGUUGUUCUUUUGGAUGCUGUAGCACGGGGUAAUGGGCUCAAUUCAUGACAGGUGAAGGAAUACUCAUGGUCCCUGGUUGCAAGCUUUCUGUAUUAUUCAUGACAGGUGAAGGGAUAACUCGUGUUUCUGGUUGCUAGUUUUCAAUGUUCUGCUGGCUGAUCAUUGCAGUUAAGAAACAAUGCUGGUUUAUUUGUGAUUAGCCUUAUCGCAUAUAUCCCACACAUUUAUCUAGCUUGUCUAUUGUCCCAUUAUUUUUGCAUUCUUACAUCGUUGACAUUGGGUAUUGCGGGCUUCUGAAUUCUGAGUUUUUUCUCACAUAGAUGGUGAGAUUUGCAGCAAUGUCACUAUUGCAUGAUGAGCAGCAGAUGGAAAGUCUAGCUUUCAAUACCAUGAUGAGCCGAAUCAGGGCAGCAGAGAAAGUUGAUUGCAGCAGAGAAAGUUGAUUGGAGUUGAAACCUCGAGAGGCUCAAGCCGUUGAAGGUUGGUUUAUACUCUCUCUUGGUAUUUGCUAAAACUGACACAUACCACCUUCCCCAGGUUAUGAGAAUUUCCCAGUAACUGCAAGUCUAGCUUCUGUGUAAGUAGGAAGUUUUCCUCCAUGGUUUAAGUGAAAAAGA
rnacentral:misc_RNA from 1 species